rnacentral:lncRNA from 1 species
GUUCGUUACAGAUACACGACAGCAGCUCUGCCCAAUGAGAUGUGAGACGUCUUCUGGGGGCUUAUGGGAAAGCCCUUCCAAAGAGACACAGGAAAGGAGCUCCUUUUGUACUUCUGGACACUGUCUCUGGAUGGAACCGCUGGGACUGCUGACUGUUGCAACUGUGUUCUUCCAACACCCGUGGGCCUGAUCUGUGACUUUUUCAGUGUUCAUCCUGUUGCCUUCCUGUUACCCUCCCGAGUGUCUUCAAUGGGCCGAGCUUGCAGAGCAGCUGAACGCAGUCAUUUUGCUGUGAAACCUCGGGUUCAGUCACUUGACUCAGUAACAGGUGUUGUUUAUAGCACUCAAGUUCUUUCCCGGAAUCUUUUCAUGUUUGUGCCGUGGACCAUGUGCUAAGAGUCCACACGCACCACGUUCGGUCACAAGCGGCAACCAGCGGUAGGCACGGUCUUUGGUGUAGACAACGAGAUGGAAAGUCUGGGUCGAGUGAGGACUGCUUAUGUCACCCAGCCUGGGCCACCGAGCCUGUCAGGAUAACUGGCUCACAUCCCGUUAGGGAGAAUCACCAUCCUAAUGGGUAGUUAGGGAUGGCGUUCCAGUUUAAAAGCUUUCAUGGGCCGUGAAACCUAGUGAGUAAAUAAUCAUUUAUCAGCCAGUCACUUAGAGAAUGCUGCACGGAAUGACGUUCCAGCACUUCGAAAUGCACAGAAGCCAUAUAUCAUAAUGGAGCAUAAAAGUUACGUGCGAACAGGCCGUAAAACUGCACAACUGUUUACCUCAGUGAAGGUUUUAUUUACAUGCCCUCCGGCAGAUACUUACAUGUGUUUCACACAAGGCUGCUGAUCACGGCUUCACACCGAGCCUACAUUGAGUAGAUGUGUCUUGGGUAGACACCAAUUGCAGUGUGAUUUCAGGGGCUCACGGAAGGCCUCUCUGGCUCCCGCCAAAACUCAUUUUGCCUGCUCGAUGCUGAGAAUUUCUUGAAACCAAGGCCUUAGUUCUACAAUUACAGAAAAUUCAAUUUGACAAGUUCAACACUGGAUUCGAUACAAAAUACCACGGAAUGCACACAUAGCCAACAUUUAUGGUACUGUGUUCUUUACAGGGCACUCCCACCUGGGGAAUCGCCUUUAUCCUCAAACAUCCCAGGAAAUUGAAUCAUUGCCUCCAGUAAUAAGCUGAGAUCUGUAACUUGAAUCAGUGAUUUGUCUAGGGGCACACGUGGGUCCCGGCAGAACUGUAACUGGAGUCUGAUGCUUCUGAAGUUGCUUCCUUAGUGCUCUUUCCACGAAAGCAGGCUCUUGCAUUAAAUACCCUACAGAAGAAGUUCUUGACUUAAACUCACACCGUCCCGAGAUCCGGUUUUGAAAGGUGGAGACGUGGACGAGAGUCGGGUCAGUGUCUCCCCGGGCCCUGUUCAGCUGGGGCAGACCUGGAGGAGCCCCUCCUCUGCAGCACCCCCCGCUGGCUCCUGGGAUGGUCCUGCCCAGGCUGACUGG